UUGGAAUUCUAAGUCAAAAACAUGCCAACCAGAAACCUAAAUUAAAGUCAAUAAAAAAAUCGCAUCUUAUAUAACCCUCUCACAAAGUAGUGGAUGUAUAGAGAAAAACAGGCAAACAAUUCGAUAUAUUUAUCAGCCAAUCUAAGCUUUCAUCACUUUGGCUAGCAAAAUCAAAACAUUCUGGGAUAUGCACCUUCACAAAAGAGCAGUUUGCUGUAAAAUACCUGUCAAGUGUGACUCCACAUGCUCCAGAGAUCUUAGAGAUCCGUUCAUAUGUUAAUUCAUAUUGAUAAAGUAUCGGAGAGAUCGUAAGCAGAAUUGCCUUUUUUAUUGAAAGCCAUAGGCCUAAGACUUUGUAAUUUACAACGCAUACAGUUAGGGCUCAGUGGCCAUAAUUUAUAUACUUUAUUCGGACUGAAAACAUAUGUACCAACGCCAGUAGAUAUUUCAAGAUUUCGCAUAACUUAUUCAGAGGUCGUGAUUAAAAAUGCAAAAAGUAAGAGGUUGAGAUGAGCAUAAGAUUCCAAUAAAUAUCCGAUGAUAUGGGAGAGCCUGUCACAUUAAUUGUUUUCAGCACGAACACCACACUAAAGAUAGAAAAAUUCCAAUCUCUCUCCAUAUAAAUUUAUAUUAAUAUCAAUGAACUAUGAAUUAAUUAGGCUGCCAUAUGGCGACACGUAUUGAUAAUUUCGCUUAUGUCUUUAUUUACUGAAAAUAAAAUACGAGAAUAACGAGCCGUAUAACGAAGAAUUCUUCUAAAACACUUUGAGCAGACCAAGACAAGACACACCAAGCGCAUCAGAAUGAACUCUUAAUGGGUCCAAUAAAUAACCCCCGAGAAAUUCAAAUAUUUUGCUAAUAUCUCGGGAAAUUAAUUCAUAAUUAGGCAACUUCACGCCACCAUCCACACCGAUAUCCAACUCCCAAUUCCUCUUUGGGAGACAAACAAAAGUGGACAGUGAUUGGAGCAUAAAUUAUGAGCCCCUUCGUUUUCGGGCAGUUUCUGGGUCUUUUCGAACUUAGGACAGACUGGGCUAAGCUGAACUGGACUGGCGGAGUGUGAGAUUACUCAAACAUAUAUUAUACGUGACCUUAUAGGUUCGAACCCGCGACUACGACGCUCGUUCUUCUCGGAUGCGAAAACGCAAUCGAAGGGAACAAAGAACUUGCUGACCGCAGAGCAUGUGGCAUGUGGGACGUUUUGGUGGACCCCGGAUCACAGGGAAUAGGGCAUUGGGCUCGGAUGGAGGGUGGAGAAUAGUAGAAGGGAAUGGGGAUGCUGCGGUUCCAUCUGCAAUCUGCGAGUAACAAGUAAUAAGCAAGCCGCUGUCGUCGCCAUUGGAAUGCUGUUACAAGUAACUGAAGUUCGAACAAAGAGGGCUCGCCGGCCGGUCGGGGAACAAUAAGUGCCAUGCCCCAAGACUGGACCCCGCCCACCUCUUGGAUGUUAUUAAUAUGGCUGGCAAUUUGUCGUCGUAGUCGGUCCACGUUGGUCCACGUCGGUCCACGGAACGAAAUGUCUCUAAAAUAAAAAGCCAAAGCAGCUGAAUCGGUCGCUCUCAAA